UUGAAAAGAGAGUUAAACAGCACGUGAAAUUGUUGAAAGGGAAGCGCUUGCAACCAGACUCGCUCGCGGGGUUCAGCCGGGCUUCGGCCCGGUGUACUUCCCCGCGGGCGGGCCAGCGUCGGUUUGGGCGGCCGGUCAAAGGCCUCCGGAAUGUAGCGCCCUUCGGGGCGCCUUAUAGCCGGGGGUGCAAUGCGGCCAGCCUGGACCGAGGAACGCGCUUCGGCACGGACGCUGGCAUAAUGGUUGUAAACGACCCGUCUUGAAACACGGACCAAGACGGGUCGUUUACAACCUUUAUGC
rnacentral:rRNA from 1 species